UUGAUAUCAUAUGCCCUAGGGAAUAUAAUUAUAUGCCUAAAUUCAAACCCAUCAUAAACAUUUUAGUUGGAUGUGCUUGCUGCUAGUUGUCCGUUUGGCUUUUGAAUUCUGAGGGACACGCGCCUACACCUCUUCAUCCAGUGUCACACAGCUAAGGUGUCUGGCAACUCUAUGUGAUUAUAGCACAUGACAAUCACUCGUGCCAAGCCACUCGCUUUAACACCUCUCAACAGGCACCCAGGGCUUUACCUUCGACUCUGUGGCGACCGAAUGACCUCAUCUCUUGGCCAAGUGGACAAUGUUCCCACGAUACAGGCGACAAGGAACUCGUGUUCGCAUGUGAGAAAUAGGGCCAUGGUCUCCAUAAGGCCUGACUGUUAAUGAGAGGUGGAGACAUAAUCUUGGCUGAGUGAGCUCUGGGAGACAACUUGGCCUUGCUGGAGUGUCUUUGUCCUUGGAGAGCCAACAACCCUGGCUGCUGAUACUGGAUCAGCUUAGGUGGUGCCCCACACCUGGUCAAGCUGAGCGUGGGGACUGGUGUGGCAGUGCACCUGUCCAGGUGGCGACCGAAUGACCUCAUCUCUUGGCCAAGUGGACAAUGUUCCCACGAUACAGGCGACAAGGAACUCGUGUUCGCAUGUGAGAAAUAGGGCCAUGGUCUCCAUAAGGCCUGACUGUUAAUGAGAGGUGGAGACAUAAUCUUGGCUGAGUGAGCUCUGGGAGACAACUUGGCCUUGCUGGAGUGUCUUUGUCCUUGGAGAGCCAACAACCCUGGCUGCUGAUACUGGAUCAGCUUAGGUGGUGCCCCACACCUGGUCAAGCUGAGCGUGGGGACUGGUGUGGCAGUGCACCUGUCCAGGUGGCGACCGAAUGACCUCAUCUCUUGGCCAAGUGGACAAUGUUCCCACGAUACAGGCGACAAGGAACUCGUGUUCGCAUGUGAGAAAUAGGGCCAUGGUCUCCAUAAGGCCUGACUGUUAAUGAGAGGUGGAGACAUAAUCUUGGCUGAGUGAGCUCUGGGAGACAACUU